GACAGAGGUGCCGAGCGUUAGGCGGAAUCACUGGGCUUAAAGCGUGUGUAGGCGGAAGCGUAAGUGCCUUGUGAAAUCCCACGGCUCAACCGUGGAACUGCUGGGCAUACUGCGUUUCUUGAGCCAAUCAGGGGUCGUCGGAACAAACGGUGGAGCGGUGAAAUGCGUAGAUAUCGUUUGGAACGCCAACGGUGAAAACAGACGACUGGGAGUGUGCUGACGCUGAGACACGAAAGCCAGGGGAGCGAACGGG
rnacentral:rRNA from 1 species